rnacentral:rRNA from 1 species
UUGCGCUUGUAGAUGAUUCCAUGCCGGAUUAGCUAGUUGGUAGAGUAAAAGCCUACCAAGGUAACGAUCCGUAGCUGGUCUGAGAGGACGAUCAGCCACACUGGGACUGAGAUACGGCCCAGACUCCUACGGGAGGCAGCAGUGGGGAAUAUUGGACAAUGGGGGAAACCCUGAUCCAGUCAUGCCGCGUGUGUGAAGAAGGCCUUAGGGUUGUAAAGCACUUUCAGCGAGGAAGAAAAAUUAUAAAAGAAUAAAUUAUAAGUAUGACGUUACUCGCAGAAGAAGCACCGGCUAACUCCGUGCCAGCAGCCGCGGUAAAACGGAGGGUGCAAGCGUUAAUCGGAAUUACUGGGCGUAAAGGGCAUGUAGGUGGUUAGUUAAGCCUUAUGUGAAAGCCCUAGGCUCAACCUAGGAAAGGGAUAAGGAACUGACAAGCUAGAGUGCAGAAGAGGAAGGUAGAAUUCCAGGUGUAGCGGUGAAAUGCGUAGAUAUCUGGAGGAAUACCAGUGGCGAAGGCGACCUUCUGGUCUGACACUGACACUGAGGUGCGAAAGCGUGGGUAGCAAACAGGAUUAGAUACCCUGGUAGUCCACGCUGUAAACGAUAUCAACUAGCCGUUGGAUUAUUAAAUAAUUUUGUGGCGUAGCUAACGCGAUAAGUUGAUCGCCUGGGGAGUACGGCCGCAAGGCUAAAACUCAAAUGAAUUGACGGGGGCCCGCACAAGCGGUGGAGCAUGUGGUUUAAUUCGAUGCAACACGAAG